UACAGAGGGUGCGAGCGUUAAUCGGAAUUACUGGGCGUAAAGGGCUUGUAGGUGGCCAACUAAGUCAAACGUGAAAUCCCUCGGCUUAACCGGGGAACUGCGUCUGAUACUGGAUGGCUUGAGUGUGGGAGAGGGAUGCGGAAUUCCAGGUGUAGCGGUGAAAUGCGUAGAUAUCUGGAGGAACACCGGUGGCGAAGGCGGCAUCCUGGACCAUUACUGACACUGAAAAGCGAAAGCCAGGGGAGCAAACGGG
rnacentral:rRNA from 1 species